rnacentral:rRNA from 1 species
CAGCAGCCGCGGUAAUACAGAGGGUGCAAGCGUUAAUCGGAAUUACUGGGCGUAAAGCGCGCGUAGGUGGUUCAUUAAGUUGGAUGUGAAAGCCCUGGGCUCAACCUGGGAAUGGCAGUGGAUACUGGCAAGCUAGAGUGUGUCAGAGGAUGGUGGAAUUCCAGGUGUAGCGGUGAAAUGCGUAGAGAUCGGAAGGAACAUCUGUGGCGAAGGCGACUAUCUGGGCCAACACUGACACUGAGGCACGAAAGCGUGGGGAGCAAACAGGAUUAGAUACCCCGGUAGUCCCUGUCUCUUAUAC